rnacentral:rRNA from 1 species
GACGAACGCUGGCGGCGUGCCUAAUACAUGCAAGUAGAACGCAGUUGCGCACGGGUGAGUAACGUGUAGGUAACUGCCCCAUAGCGGGGGACAACUAUUGGAAACGAUAGCUAAUACCCCAUACUGUGAGAUGGACCUGCGUUGUAUUAGCGAGUUGGUGACGUAAAGGCUCACCAAGGCGACGGUACAUAGCCGACCUGAGGGGGGGAUCGGCCACACUGGGGCUGAGACACGGCCCGUACUCCUGAGGGGGGCAGCAGUAGGGAAUCAUUGGCUAUGGACGGAAAUCUGACCGAGCAACGCCGCGUGAGUGGAGAAGGGUUUCGGAUCGUUAAGCUCUGUUGUUAGAGGAGCGGUAACUAACCAAGAAGGGACGGCUAACUACGUGCCAGCCGCCGCGGUAAUAC